AUGUCGGACGCGCCGGCGAGCCUGCCGUGCGGCGGAGGAGGCGGCGAUGGCGGCGGCAGGGAGCAGGACAGGUUCCUGCCCAUCGCCAACAUCAGCAGCAUCAUGAAGAAGGUCAUCCUGGCCAACGGCAAGAUCGCCAAGGACGCCAAGGAUGACCUUGCGGGAGUGCAUCUCGGAGUUCAUUGCUUCGUCACCAGCGAGGCGAGCAACAAGUGCCAGAGGGAGAAGCGCAAGACCAUUAACAUCGACGACCUGCUCUCGGUGAUGGCCAUGCUAGGCUUUCAGGAGUACAUUGAGCCCCUCAAGGUUUAUCUACAGAAGUACAGAGAGGUGCAUGCCCAUUUAGCCAUGUGGGAUUUUUUUAUCUGA
rnacentral:rRNA from 1 species